AAAAAGAAAGGGAAAAUACAUAAGAAAGCGUAGCUAGGGCAGCGCAGGGAAGGAGAUUGGAUGAAAUUCUGGAGUCACAGAAACAAAACCACUUGAUGGACCCAGGCUGGAGAAGGAGAUGGAAGUAAACCAGCAAUCCCUGAAGGACACUGUUGGGGAAUUCACAUUUCAGUAGAGAGGAGAAAGAAGUGGCUGCAGAAGACGUAAAGCAGCUGAGGAAUCUCAGAGGUCAUGAAGAGCAUGGCAGGAGCAGUUCUUGGAGCUGUACAUGGCAGUGUGUCACUCUGCACUGGGAAGCUUGAAGGAAAGACCAGAUAAACC